rnacentral:rRNA from 1 species
AUUGAACGCUGGCGGCAUGCCUUACACAUGCAAGUCGAACGGCAGCGGACCUUCGGGUGCCGGCGAGUGGCGAACGGGUGAGUAAUAUAUCGGAACGUACCUUUCAGUGGGGGAUAACGUAGCGAAAGUUACGCUAAUACCGCAUAUUCUGUGAGCAGGAAAGCAGGGGAUCGCAAGACCUUGCGCUGAUUGAGCGGCCGAUAUCAGAUUAGCUAGUUGUGAGGUAAGGCUCACCAAGGCGACGAUCUGUAGCGGGUCUGAGAGGAUGAUCCGCCACACUGGAACUGAGACACGGUCCAGACUCCUACGGGAGGCAGCAGUGGGGAAUUUUGGACAAUGGGCGCAAGCCUGAUCCAGCCAUGCCGCGUGAGUGAAGAAGGCCU